UGAGAAAGAGAGAAAGAAAGAAAAAGAGAGAAAGAAUGACUGAGAGAGAAGGCCGUGGUAAGGGAGGAGUAACGGUGGAGGGAGAGUGUGAAACGAAAGAAGAAGGGUGUACGGGUCAGUUGUCUAAUAUAUGUGAUAAUAACUUCGAGCCGGGAAUCGAAGCCAGCGGCGUGCGAAUCUCGGAUCUGCAUAUAUGGAUUGCCGACCAUCUUUCUCUCUCUUUCCUCUUCCUCCUUUUCCUUCGAUCUAUCUACCUCACUCGUUCUUCCCCUUACUAUCCUACACGAACGUAUUUUUCAUACGUAUAGAGAUAGGCGUACGCGUGCGCGAGCCAAUGCGCCAGCCGGGAAUUUCAAGAUUGAAAUUUGAAAUAUGGAAAUAACAGAAAACGAUCUCGAGCAUUCGCCAUGGUGGGACCCUUACUCCACACUCAGCGGCUUUCCAAAAAUGAUGCGCGUUGUAUAUACGUAUACCUAUCUAAGUGGUUAAAGUUAUGGGUGGAAAGGAUUGUGGUCAGAAGAAAAAGAGAAAAGAGAGAGAGAGAGAGAGAGAGAGAGAGAGAGAGAGAGGGAGAGAAAAAGAGUGAAAAAAGAAUAGAAGGAUUAAAUGAAGUUUUCUGUAGCUGACCGUACAUGCGUUUACUAUGAAGAAAAUAAAGUAUGUAAAUUGUGAGUUGACUACUACCAUCUCUCGAGGUACAUGCAAACAGUCUUUGUUUCGAGAGAAGACAGAACCGGCUAGAGUCGUGCCACGGAACAUUAACCAAGCAGCGAGCAUAACAGAAAAGAUCGUAAUGUUCCGCAGCGGAGGUUAGGUGCAUAAUGUGACGUAACGUAACAUAUAAUGGCGACGAGAGCGUUCCAUUGUAUUGCACAUAGAGAAAGAGAGAGAGAGAGAGAGAGAGAGAGAGGAGAACCAGAGAAAGACUUGAAAGACCAAACGUGGAAACCAUAUAGAAAGAAGUACUCGAGGGGAUGCCCAGGCUACCCGUUCGGAGGAAAAUUUUGUCGAGCGAACCAGCAUUUACGUUACUCUACUUGCUCUCCACUGACGUUAGCUUCGUACACUUAUGAAAAUCUCCUUUUUCUUAUACUGAAAAGAAUAGACGGCACUAUUUUGUUCAGAAAAAAUGAUGAUCGCUUUUGCCAGAAAAAUAUCGAUUUUAUAUUAUACACGAAUAAAUGCAUUUUUGAUAAAACUUUA